GGGAGGAAACAGUGCCUAGUG
rnacentral:miRNA from 1 species